rnacentral:misc_RNA from 1 species
UAGCACUCCAUCAGUCAUAUACUGCACAAUUGAGAAUGAAAACUCUAGAAUGUGAUCGUCUUAUAUAAGUUAGAACCAAACUUGAAAAAAUAAAGAAAAUAAGAUAAAUUGCUCAACAACCUAUUACUACAAUGUGGAUAAUAACUCAUUCAUCUGGCUAUCUUCAUAUCAAUUAUAUGAACACACCAUUGUCGACAUUAAAACUAAAAUAAAACACAAAGCCAAAUCCUCAAGAUAUUACUGGUUCUCAAACUAUUAUGCGUAAUUGGGAUCAUUUUUGAAGUUCUCCAAAGCUUAUAUUUUAAGAACGCAAAUUCUACGUUUUCUAUUACAUUUCCCAUUAGCUUUUCUUUCAAACAAGUCUUAUUUUUAAAUUUCGUUUACAAAAAUGCACACAUAAAAAGUCACUGGAUAGGGAGAUUCUAGUGUAACUCUGUUUUUAACAAGUUAGAUUUAAUUUAUCAAUCCAAAUCCCCAUGAAUUAAAAAUGUUUUGGAUUCUAUGGCUAAAAAGGCAGAGUGAAAACCAAAUUACCUGAAAGAAAGAUAAGGUAUAAGGCACCCAUUGCAUAGAGUGAUUUCAGCAAUAACCAUUGGCAACAAAG